rnacentral:rRNA from 1 species
AGGGAAUAGAUACCCGGGUAGUCCACGCCGUAAACUAUGGAUGCUAGCUGUUAUGAGUAUCGACCCUCGUAGUAGCGUAGCUAACGCGUUAAGCAUCCCGCCUGUGGAGUACGGUCGCAAGACUAAAACAUAAAGGAAUUGACGGGGACCCGCACAAGCGGUGGAGCGUGUUGUUUAAUUCGAUGGUAAGCGAAGAACCUUACCCAGGCUUGACAUCCUGCCAAGGUCUCCGAAAGGAGAUUGUGCCUUCGGGCCGCAGUGACAGGUGAUGCAUGGCCGUCGUCAGCUCGUGUCGUGAGAUGUUUGGUUAAGUCCAUCAACGAGCGCAACCCUUAUAGUUAGUUGUAUUUCUCUAGCUAGACUGCCCUGGUAACAGGGAGGAAGGGGGGGAUGAUGUCAGGUCAGUAUUUCCCUUACGUCUGGGGCUACAAACACGCUACAAUGGCCGGUACAAAGGGCUGCCAACCCGCGAGGGGGAGCAAAUCCCAUCAAAGCCGGUCUCAGUUCGGAUAAGAGGCUGAAACUCGCCUCUUUGAAGCUGGAAUC